UUACGGAAGGCAGCAGUGGGGAAUUUUGCGCAAUGGGGGAAACCCUGACGCAGCAACGCCGCGUGGAGGAUGAAGGUCUUUGGAUUGUAAACUCCUUUCGAUCGGGACGAUUAUGACGGUACCGGAAGAAGAAGCACCGGCUAACUCUGUGCCAGCAGCCGCGGUAAUACAGAGGGUGCAAGCGUUGUUCGGAAUUAUUGGGCGUAAAGGGCGCGUAGGCGGUUCGGCAAGUCUUCAGUGAAAUCUCUCGGCUCAACUGAGAGUCUGCUGGGGAAACUGCCGGGCUUGAGUGUGGGAGAGGAGAGUGGAAUUCCUGGUGUAGCGGUGAAAUGCGUAGAUAUCAGGAGGAACACCUGAGGCGAAAGCGGCUCUCUGGACCACAACUGACGCUGAGGCGCGAAAGCUAGGGGAGCAAACAGGAUUAGAUACCCUGGUAGC
rnacentral:rRNA from 1 species